AGUCAUGCAAGAAGAUAUGCAAUUAAACUCAUUCCUAUCUAAUGCACAAUAUAAUAGGUUCAUGGCUUUUGAAUUUUGUUGAGCCAUUUUCUCAUUAUGAUUAGUAUUUGUGUGUGUUCCAUUGUCUAUAAUGCUCCAUAAAUUAUAAUCAAGUGAUUGUAUGAAAAUGCGCAUGCGUGCUUUCCAAUGUGUAUAGUUUAUGCCAUUAAAUAGUGGAGGUGUAUCAAUUAAUUGUCCUUCACCUAGAAAAUUAUCUAUUUGAGUUGUCAUGAUCUUUGGCUCUUGAUCGUGAGAUCAAUAAUUAAUCUUAGAGCACCUGCUCUGAUACCACUUGUUGCCCAAGGUGACAACCCAAGAGG
rnacentral:lncRNA from 1 species